UGGGAACGUGCCUUUUGGUUCGGAACAACCCAGGGAAACUUGGGCUAAUACCGGAUAAGCCCUUAAGGGGAAAGAUUUAUCGCCAAAAGAUCGGCCCGCGUCUGAUUAGCUAGUUGGUGGGGUAAAAGCCUACCAAGGCGACGAUCCGUAGCUGGUCUGAGAGGAUGAUCAGCCACACUGGGACUGAGACACGGCCCAGACUCCUACGGGAGGCAG
rnacentral:rRNA from 1 species